rnacentral:misc_RNA from 1 species
AUACCAAUCUAGCCCGGCUAGGUGUUGGGCUUCGCCGUUUGGCGGGCCUUAAAAUUAGUGGCGGUGCUCCUCAGCUCUACGCGUAGUAAUUCUUCUCGCUACAGGGUCUUGUGGAGAUGCUUGCCAGCAACCCCGAAUUUUUCUA